rnacentral:lncRNA from 1 species
CCCAACCUACUAACUCUAAUCCCCAGCCUUAUCCUAUCCCCUUCUCCUCGCGGCAGGCGACGGACGGCUGGCUACUCGCACAUCCCGAGUGACAGGGCGACUAACCCCAAAGGUCGGACGAUGAGGCAAGGCCAGGCUCACCAUCACCGGAUGGCUCAACUCCCAUAGCCUCCUUCCUCUACCGGUCCUUGAGGAAGCAACCAGCACGACGACCACCUCUUGGCUCCUGCUCAAUGCCCUUCCUGGUCAACGUCGGGCUGGUGCGGACCGGCACGACGAGUCCGCGGGCGGUACCUCAUGUUGUAUUCCACUUGUCUAUAGGUGAUGAGAGUUGCACAGUAUUGUCUUUACAAAUUCAGGUUAGUUGCAAUAUCUUUUGUACAGGGCUACUGGUAAUGAUAAAUUCAAUUUGCUUUCUGUUUCUUUUGUAAUAUAUUAACAAUUCCAGUUUACUCAUAAUUUCUAAAUUAAUCAAAUCAACUAUCUCCACUCGUAAUUCAGUCAAAUAAUUUAUGUUUUUUUCUACAGAAGUAGGCUACUAGCACAAUGUCUUUAGAAGGAUCAAGGGAUUCCUUCGCAGUCUCAAUGGGAAAAACAAGAAAAGAUGCAAAUGGACCAGUUGCAGCCUAUAUUUAUCUUGUGUUGCAUCAUACUGAUAAUUUUUCUUUGCGUGAUUACAUGGUUGGAUUUUAUUCACACUAGAACAAUGUCUUUGAUUUGAAUAGUGUAGCCCCCAAGUGCCGGGUUGAUUGCUUGCGGCGACUCGGAACUUUCACGUACUUCUCCUUCAAAAAUAAAACAUCAUAUGAUGUAGCCCCCAAGGGUCGGGUCAUUAUGCAAUAAUGAGCAGGGACUUUGUAAAUCUGAUAAUGUAACCUUGAGCAACAAUGUGUAGCCCCCAAGGGUCACGUCAUUAUAAUAAUGUUGAACCGGUUCUUCAUUGAAUCCAUACGUGAAUAAAAAACGACCUGUAGCCCUCCAGGGCCGGCUUAUCUCCUUGAGGUAGCCGGGUCUGUUGAUGAUGUGAUGAUUUGAAAAGCGGAUUGCAUUAGCCCCCAAGUGUCAUGGUGCAUGCUUGCAGCGAUAUGGGACUUUCAUACUUUGAUGUAAUCUUGAUUUGAAUAAUGUAGC